rnacentral:rRNA from 1 species
GACGAACGCUGGCGGCGCGCUUAACACAUGCAAGUCGAACGGAAAGGCCCUGCUUUUGUGGGGUGCUCGAGUGGCGAACGGGUGAGUAACACGUGAGUAACCUGCCCUUGACUUUGGGAUAACUUCAGGAAACUGGGGCUAAUACCGGAUAGGAGCUCCUGCUGCAUGGUGGGGGUUGGAAAGUUUCGGCGGUUGGGGAUGGACUCGCGGCUUAUCAGCUUGUUGGUGGGGUAGUGGCUUACCAAGGCUUUGACGGGUGGCCGGCCUGAGAGGGUGACCGGCCACAUUGGGACUGAGAUACGGCCCAGACUCCUACGGGAGGCAGCAGUGGGGAAUAUUGCACAAUGGGCGGAAGCCUGAUGCAGCAACGCCGCGUGCGGGAUGACGGCCUUCGGGUUGUAAACCGCUUUCGCCUGUGACGAAGCGUGAGUGACGGUAAUGGGUAAAGAAGCACCGGCUAACUACGUG